rnacentral:rRNA from 1 species
AACGAACGCUGGCGGCAUGCCUAACACAUGCAAGUCGAACGAGACCUUCGGGUCUAGUGGCGCACGGGUGCGUAACGCGUGGGAACCUGCCCUUAGGUUCGGAAUAACUCCCCGAAAGGGGUGCUAAUACCGGAUAAUGUCUUCGGACCAAAGAUUUAUCGCCUUUGGAUGGGCCCGCGUUGGAUUAGCUAGUUGGUAGGGUAAAAGCCUACCAAGGCGACGAUCCAUAGCUGGUCUGAGAGGAUGAUCAGCCACACUGGGACUGAGACACGGCCCAGACGCCUAUGGGAGGCAGCAGUGGGGAAUAUUGGACAAUGGGCGAAAGCCUGAUCCAGCAAUGCCGCGUGAGUGAUGAAGGCCUUAGGGUUGUAAAGCUCUUUUACCCGGGAUGAUAAUGACAGUACCGGGAGAAUAAGCGCCGGCUAACUCCGUG